AGAUAAAGCGGAGGUAUUCGGGGAGGACAGGUGGUGCAUGGUUGUCGUCAGCUCGUGUCGUGAGAUGUUGGUUAAGUCCCGCAACGAGCGCAACCCUACUUGCUAGUUACCAUCAUUAAGUUGGGGACUCUAGCGAGACUGCCAGUGAUAAACUGGAGGAAGGUGGGGAUGACGUCAAAUCAUCAUGCCCCUUAUGACCUGGGCUACAAACGUGAUACAAUGGCUGGAACAAAGGGAUGCGAAGCAGUGAUGUGGAGCGAAACCCAUAAAAACAGUCUCAGUUCGGAUUGAAGUCUGCAACUCGACUUCAUGAAGUCGGAAUCGCUAGUAAUCGCGGAUCAGAACGCCGCGGUGAAUACGUUCUCGGGGUUU
rnacentral:rRNA from 1 species